rnacentral:rRNA from 1 species
AGUGAUCCGGUGGUUCUGUAUGGAAGGGCCAUCGCUCAACGGAUAAAAGGUACUCUGGGGAUAACAGGCUGAUACCGCCCAAGAGUUCAUAUCGACGGCGGUGUUUGGCACCUCGAUGUCGGCUCAUCUCAUCCUGGGGCUGUAGCCGGUCCCAAGGGUAUGGCUGUUCGCCAUUUAAAGAGGUACGUGAGCUGGGUUUAAAACGUCGUGAGACAGUUUGGUCCCUAUCUUCCGUGGGCGCUGCAGAUUUGAGAGAGCCUGCUCCUAGUACGAGAGGACCGGAGUGGACGCACCUCUGGUGUAUCGGUUGUCACGCCAGUGGCAUUGCCGAGUAGCUAAGUGCGGAAGAGAUAACCGCUGAAAGCAUCUAAGCGGGAAACUCGUCUCAAGAUGAGAUCUGCCGGGGCCCCGAGCCCCCUGAAGAGUCGUUCAAGACCAGGACGUUGAUAGGCUGGGUGUGGAAGCGCAGUAAUGCGUUAAGCUAACCAGUACUAAUUGCUCGUGCGGCUUGACCCUAUAACCUU